rnacentral:rRNA from 1 species
CAGCAGCCGCGGGAAUACGGAGGGCGCGAGCGUUACCCGGAUUUACUGGGCGUAAAGGGCGUGUAGGCGGCCUGGGGCGUCCCAUGUGAAAGGCCACGGCUCAACCGUGGAGGAGCGUGGGAUACGCUCAGGCUAGAGGGUGGGAGAGGGUGGUGGAAUUCCCGGAGUAGCGGUGAAAUGCGCAGAUACCGGGAGGAACGCCGAUGGCGAAGGCAGCCACCUGGUCCACUUCUGACGCUGAGGCGCGAAAGCGUGGGGAGCAAGCCGGAUUAGAUACCCCAGUAGUCCCUGUCUCUUAUAC